rnacentral:lncRNA from 1 species
GUCACACAUGCUACUCAGACAUCAAGUCAGAAACAAUUUAAUUGGUAGAUAAUGUCACUUCCAGUCCAUGCAGGUGGAUUUAUUUAGGGUUUUGUUCAUUUCUGUCCUCUCUCUGUGCACCCCUAUAUCAGAUGCAACUACCUGAAACUAAGAAAUCAAUGAACUUCAACAUUUCAGGUGAAAGACCUAUAGUAUUAUUUUUCAGGUAGUUGCAUGAUACAUUCAAGCCUUUAAAUAGUGUGGUGGCUUUUAAAAAGCUACUUUUCUCAUUUCCUUUCUUCACUUUCUUACUUUUUUGUCUCUAGUGAAAACUUCAUUUUACAACAUUUUAAUUAUAUAAUCUCUUUUUGGUCUAAUUGCAGAAUUAUUUGAUGGUGAGACAGUUCAUAGUUCAACCUCUUUAUUAAAGAAUUA